GUUCGGGUAGCUCAGGGGUAGAGCACUACGUUGACAUCGUAGUGGUCGUAGGUUCAAAUCCUAUCUCGAACA
rnacentral:tRNA from 1 species